AAGAAGGCGCAAGGGAAGAUGGAAUGGAGGAAAUGGACAGAGUCCUUGGUUCACUCCCGUGUACAUUUGUGUCUGUUUUUGCGUUGUGGAAAUCGAACUCAGGGCCUCACGUGUGCUAGGCAAAAGCUCUACCACGGAGUCACGUCUCGGGCAUUUUUAUUUUGAGACAGUCUCCCUGAAUUGCCCAGGCUGGGAUUAACUCGAGAUCCUCUUGCCUCACUUCCCAGCCUCAUAAACGGAUUAACAGCCCUGAGCCACGCCCAGCCACACCUAUACGUUUCUUGAAAAGAAAUUCUUUUUUUUUUUUUUGUACCGGGGAUCGAACUCAGGUCCUUGUGCUUGCGAGGCAGGUGCCGGAACCACUGAGCUAAAUUCCUGGCCCAUGAAAAGAAAUUCUUAAUAUUGCAAGAGUGCUAAUCCUCAACUCAGAGGCCCACCUGUUUAACACGUCAUGAUAAGAGAACCUGUUGCCUAAAACACUGGCCCUAAGAACUAUGAAAAAUAAAGUGGGAUUGGUCUGCGGCCUACAAGAACUAUAUAGGAUGUACAAGAGUAUACAGAUAGACCCAUCAAGAGCUGUGAGCCACCUACAACUAGACUGAAGUGGUGUCUUGGACCCUGUUGGAUGUUUAAGGAUAAAUUUCUUUAAAAAAAGACAAAGCUAAGGGAACAGUCUUCAGGAAUGAAAAUGUGUGUCUUACAAGUAAACAGGAAGAGAAAAUCUUUGAAGAUCCAGUCAGAUCAGGCUAAUAUCCUGUGAAGCCUCAGAUUAGAAGUGUGAUUUGGUUCCAGAUCCAAAGAUGGCUUAACUAUGGACACAUAUCUGAGAAGGGGACAUUCGGUAAGGUUCAAGUGGUAUUGGCCUGCUUUAACUGAAUGAACCUACUUCAAGACUCAUGACAAUCUCAAAAGGGGCAAUGCUAGUCUUUUCUGCCUAGUUCCAGUUUUAGCAUGCAUAAGCACAAGUAAAUUAAGCUUGGAACAGCAUGGUGACAUUCGGAAUUGGACAAGUGAUGGGUGCCGGUGGCCCUGUGAUAUGUCAGAGCACCUGUCAGACAUGGCUUCUUAUUCAGUGGAGAAGAAUGAACUAAAAAGAAAGAAGAGGAGACUCAAGGAAGGGAAAAGACCCAAAUUACAGUGAUUAAGAGCCUGGAUGAUAAAAAAAAAAUAAAAGAAAAAAACCAGAAA